UCAUGUUGCCUAGCAUCUGUCAUGUGACUGUCGCCGGCCAAUCCUUCGGCACUUCGUACGCCGGCUUUCCGUCAGAGCUGUGCUACGGCUCCCAGUUCGGUCGUGUCAGACAAUGGGAACGAGUGGAGAGACCCUCUCCUCUUGUUUGUGCAGAUAAAUGUCACCAGGUUGAAGGUGUGAGCAUUUCUCGAUUGACAACAGGCAAGACAACGGGGAAAAGGCUUGGAAAGAAUUGUGCUGUGAAAAUAUACAGAAAGCGCUCCAAGGUGGAGGCUUGCAUCUUUCCAACGGAAUCCGGAGUAGUUGCUGCAUGCCUGAACUUUGGUUUGUUUCUGUCUUCAAAAGGGCAUCAUCAGAAGACAUCUGAACAGCAGCAGCACUAAUUUACAUCACACAGCAGUACUUAAAACAAGGACUUUGACUCAGCAACUACAGCCAGCCAAUCACACAAGCCGAAAUCAGACCAGGACUCAGAAAGAUAUUUAAAGGCCAGUGCUCGCCCAGAUAAGCACAAUCCAAAGUGCACUGAAGAUGUCUCCUCGAGUGGAGAUGAAAUGUUUGCAACCAAAUCACCAAGCUCAUGGGUCAAAUCAACAACCAACAUAACUACCAACCUUAGCUAUUAAUAUACAAAGACAUUUCAGAUUAUUUGUUUAGAAAAUUUGUAUGGCGUUCUUUGAUGCCAAGAAUAUUUUAUAUUCAGAAUAUUUUCAGAAAAUGUAAUUACCAAUAAAUGAGGAAGAUUUGGUUUUCCAAAUCUAGAGCUAUACUAUCAUGCUUACCAAUUGCCAAGUAUUAAAUACUGGAAGCCAACAAUUGUUAUUAAAUUUGUCAUUUAGGCAACUUUGGAAUAUACAUAUAUAGCACCUCCAGUUGGAUAAACAGUAAUGGUGAUGUCAGCGUAACGAGAAGAAGGUUAGGAAAAGAGCUCCCGAUCUGAUCUUCUUUUCCUUGAUUCAGACAGCUUUUUUUUCUGCCAAAACCACCCCCGGAGGGAGCGGGGAGAGUGAGGAGUGCAGGGCGCGUGUGGAUGUGAUCCGGCGUGCUGAAGGCUUGAUCCUCUUUCGGUCUCUGAAGUCAAGGAGAGGGCACUGAGGAAUGGCAGCCCCGAAGGAAUGACUCACCGUGUUGGAUAGGAAGCCGAUUGCAGAGAGCUGGAGAACUUGGAUUAUUGGAUUUGUUGUGGAUCAAUGCUGAACUUGGAGGUGAGGAGUGUGGAGAGAGAGAGUGCGAAGCUCUAAUUGCCAGGACAAGCUGUGAGGCGAAAUAGCCUCACUUGAUCAGCGGCUGAGAGAGAGUAACCCGGACAGUGAAAAAAUCUGCCUACUUAAUAGGGGAAGAUCUGGUAGUGAGCCAGGAUCUCAUUUGUGCAAGAAUGGAAAUCCAAAAAUAUUCCAUCGGAGGCUACGUUAAACUCAAAGAUCAUGGACUGUGCAGAAGCAGACAAGCUUACCGGACUUUUGCGAGAUAGACAAGAAUCAAGGUUAUAUAGGAGUUGGACAGGUGAUAUGCUUGUCUGCAAAAAAAGAAAUCUUAAGAAGAAUGUAAAAUAUUAAUCUUAGUGUGAAUGUGGGUAAAUAUUUAUAGGAGCAUUGCAUGGCAGUUGAGAAUUCUUUCUUCUGGAUAAUCUUUUCUUUUUUUGAUGAUUUGGUUUAAUGGAGGUUUGUACUAUCUCUAGGCGAAAAUUGAUGCUUUUAAAACUCUAUAUGUAUUAUAUUACUCUCUGCAAUUCUAUCCAUAUUGCUAUAUUUUUUUCUGUAAUUUUUAAUAAUUUUCAAUAAAAAUUUUUUUUAAAAAAGAGGUAGGUAAAAUGAGGACCCGGAUUGGGGGGGCAAUAAACUGACUUUGUAUAAAAAAGAACACCGCUUAGGGGAGGCCGAAAGCCCUACUAAGCAGGUAUAUAUAAAAGUAUGAAGGCUGUUGCUUAAUGCAUUGUAAGCCGCCCUGAAUCUCCGGAGAAGGGCGGCUUAUAAAUCGAACCAGUUAUAACAUUUGUUAACAACGUUGUUUGAACCAGCAGCAUUUUCAGCUUCUUAAACACCUGACAUACUACAAUAGGGGUAUCAAACUCAAUUUCAUUGAGGGCCACAUCAGGGUUGUGUUUGACCUCGAGGGGCCGGGGUGGGUGAGGCCAGGGUAAGCAUGGCCAAAUUGGCCACUCAUGGGCACCUGUGGCCAGAGCGCUCUGCCAGUGAAAAUCGGCUCCUGAGCUCCGUUUUCAGCUGCAACAGCCUCCUGCAACCCUCUGCGAGCAAAAACGGAGCUUGGCAGAGCUGCAGGCAGCCCUCCUGAGCUCCAUUUUUGCUGGCAGAGGCACCGCGGACUGGACCUUCACUAUUUCCAGAGUGGCCCCACAGACCAGAUCUAAGCACCCUGCGGGUCUUGAGUGACACCCCUGUGCUACAACAACUGGUAAACUAUUUAAAACUAAAAACCUACUAUUAUAUUCUAUAUAUAUUUACUACUAAUAAAUCAAUGCUAAGAAAUUAAUGGAAUAAAGAGUUAGAAAUCCAAAAAUGGUUAGAUAAUGGGGAGAGUGUCUUAACCUCUAUAGCAAGUGGGUCAAUGGACCAAUUUAUACAGCAGAAAAUAAUACUGAAAGUAUACUGGACUAAAUUACAUUUGUACAAAAAGGGAUUGUCUAGGACAGCAUUUUGCUGGAGAUUUAAUAAUAAUCAUCAAUUAUUUUAACAGAUUAACAGAGUUGGAAGGGACCUUGUAGGUCUUCUAGUCCAACCCUCCGCAGAAACAGGAGACUACACCAUUUCUGACAAAUGGCAGUCCAAUCUCUUCUUGAAAGCUUCCAGUGAUGAAGCUCCCACAACUUCUGAAGGCAAGCUGUUCCAUAGGUUGAUUGUUCUCACUGUCAGAAAAUUUCUCCUUAUUUCUAGGUUGAAUCUCUCAUUGAUCAGUUUCCAUCCAUUAUUCCUUGUCUGGCCUUCAGGUGCUUUGGGAAAUGGCUUGACCCCUCCUCUUUGUGGCAGCCCCCCAAAUAUAGGAACACUGCUAUCAUGUCUACCCUUGUCCUUUUCUUCACAUAUGUUUUAGCUUCCAUCUGGAUCUUGAGCCUAUCAUCUAGGGCAGGGGUCCUCAAACUUUUUAAAUGGGGCCAAUUCAUGGUCCCGCAAACUGUUGGGGGGCCGGAUCAGCUGGGCGGCCAUGGCUAGGUGGUCAUGUGACUAGGUGGGCAUGGCUAGGUCAUGUGACUGGGUGGACGUGGCCAAUUUAACAGUCCAUUGAACAAUGCACACAAAUUAAACUUAAAUUUGCUUUGCUCCUGGGGGUGUUUUAUUUGCUUUUGUUUGCAUGUUGCUCUUUUGGUUGCCUUUUCUUUUUACUAGUUCAUUUUUUCAGUUGUUUAGGAGUCUAGUGGUCCACUUCAGGAAACUCAGUUUUGCUGCAAUUCUUCUCAGCCCCAAGGAACUUGAGAAAUCUCUCUGUCUCUUGCCUUCUCUCUCUCCCUCUCUUUUUCUUUUUUUUUCUCUCUCUCCUUCUCUCUCCCUCUCCCUCUUUUCAGGAAACUCAGUUUUGCUGCAAUUCUUCUUAGCACCAAGGAACUUGAGAAAUCUCUCUCUUGCCUUCUCUCUCUCCCUCUCUUUUUCUUUUUUCUUUCUCUCUCUCUCCUUCUCUCUCCCUCUCCCUCUUUUCUCUCUGUCUGUCUCUCUCCCUCCCUCUCCCUCUCUCUGUCUGUCUCUCCCCCUCUCUCUCCCUCUCUCUCCCUCUCCCCUCUUUCUCUCUUUCAUUGUUCCUCUUUCUCUCCCUCUCUCUCCCUCUCUCUUUCUGUCUCUCUGUCUGUCUGUCUUUCGUCUCUCUCCCUCUCUCUCUCUCCCUCUCUCUCUCCUUCUCUUUUCCUCUCUCUUUCUCUCUCUCUCCCCCUUUCACUCUUUCUUUUUCUUUCUCUUUCUUUCUCUCUCUCUCUCCCUCUCUUUCCUUUUCUCCCUCCCUCCCUCUCUCUUUCUCUCUCUCCCUCUCUCUUUCUGUCUCUCUCUCUCUAUCUUGUGGAGGUGGUGAAGGUGAAAAAUGGGCCAUUUUUGCCUGGUUUUUUGCCUCCUUUCAUUCCCCCACCCCCCUCCACAAGCAUUCUGCAGGCUAAAAUCAGGCAAAAAUGGCUCAUUUUUUGGCUAACAAUGGGCCGUUUUUACCUGUUUUUUUGCCUCUUCUAACCUCCCCACCUCCACAAGCAUUCUGUAAGCUAAAAGCAUGUCAGGGCAUUGAUUAAUCCCAUGUUUGGCUCUGGGACAAUCACCCUGAUUUAAUUAGAGGAUGGGUCGUGGCUUAUCCAAGUUGCAAUAUUCUGAAAUAAAACCCGAAGAAAUAUUUUCUAAUAAAACUCAUUUAUUUGUUAUAAAGAAAAUAAAACAUCUCACUAACUAAGAAAAAUAAUUGUUACAUUUUGAAAUAGUUCGGGCCAGCUGCUUUCCAGCAGCCGGACCUUUCUGGCAAGAGAAAAAAGGGAAGUGUGUGAAGGAAUGUGGGUGGAUACGGAAAUACGUAGCUUACUGAUAAGAAGUUGGCAAGCUACGGAGAGUCUGACAGUCCAGAAAUAAUUAGCUCAGCUGGUAAAUAAAAGAAUGCAGUGACAUUCCCCUUCUUUUGCCAGUUGAGCGAAUAUCAGUACAUCAUCAAAUAAGGCACAUUUUCUUACGCAGAUACUCAUGUUGAGCUGCUGAGAGUGGUUUGUUGAGCAUAUCAGCAAUUUGAUCAUGUGUAGAUACAUAUUGCAUUUUAACAAAACCUUUUUUCACUAAAUGUUUUAUGUUUUGAUAACGGAUGUCAAUGUGUCUGGACCUAGAACCUGUAAAAUGAGAUUCAGAAAUAUAAACCACUGAUUCAUUGUCUUCCAUCACGGUGAUUGGUCGGAUCGGGUGUGUCCAGAUAUCUGUGACUAAAGCAUCAAACCAAGUUAGAGAAUUACAUGCAUCUGAAACACAAGCAUAUUCAGCUUCAGUAGAUGAACAAGAAACAAAAUUCUGUUUACGUACUUGCCAAUAAACAGGACAUCUAUUUAAGAACAUCAUAUAACCUGAAGUACUUUUACGUGAUUUCUUAUCACUUGCCCAAUCAGAAUCUGCAUAACAACAUAAUUCUGCAUAAUCAGUAUGUGUUGGUUCUAACAAUAACUUCAUGUGUUUAGUGUAUUUUAGGUAUCUCAAUAAUUUCUUAAUACAUGUCCAAUGAAACUGUUUUGCCUUACCUACGUGUCGUGAUAAGAAAUUAACACUAAGUGCAAUGUCGGGUCUGAUCCAACUACUAAUGUACAACAGUGACCCAAUGACUGAACGAUAAAGUGUUUGAUCCUCGAACUCAG